rnacentral:lncRNA from 1 species
AAGAAGAUUGCAGACAUAAAAGAUCCUCCUGCAGUGAUAGUAGGAUCAGAUUAGCAAGAGAAAGAGUCAAAUGGAAAGCAGCCUAAUGAUCUAACACAACAACCCAUGUGCCAAACCCAUCAACCUGCAGCUAAGACUGGAGAACAAACACCUGAAAAGGAGAUGCCAAGCCUAGAACUGAGUUGGCCCAAGGAAUUUCCAACUUUGGCCACAAGUAUACUUAGAAGCAAUAGAGCAGGAAAAUACACAGGUGGAAAGGGAAUACAACAGUGCUUGCCCAUAGCUAAUAGCGGGACACCCAUUAUAGUUUAAUGACUUGGGUGAUAUGGAAUGUAAGGGGAGUAAACAAGAGAUAUAAACAAAAAGAAUUAAAGACAUAUGUACAUAAUAAGAAAAUAAAGUUAGCUAGGAUUUUGGAAACUAGAGUCAAGGAUAGUAGAGCCAACAGGGUGUCACACAUCCUUUUUUUACACACCUACCCCGAAGGAUAGUGUAUAAGAGAGUUUGUUUUUAUUUAAAGUGAUAUUAUUCGAACUGGAGUUAUUUAUUUAUUUUUAUAGUCGCCCCUUGGGAUAGGUUCGAUUUUUGGUGUCCCAAGUCAUCGGUUUUUCUUGAAUCCCAACUCGAGGAAAUUUUUGACUUUCCAAAUGAAGUCUGCAAACCAAAAAUUCUUGAGUAAGGAAUUCUGUUAAUCCGAGGGAAGGUGUUAGGCACCCUCGAAUUCCGUGGUUCUAACACGGUCACUUAAACUAUCAUAUAUGGCUAAUUAUCUGAUUUUAAACAUGUUUAUCCUAUAGUGUAAUAUUAAAAUUACUUACCGCUUUUAAUUGAAUUUUUGAGAAAGAUUGCAACAGUAUUAAAAUGUAUUUUAAAUCGCGUCAUAUAAAUGCACCCGUAAAUUUUGACAUACUUUAACACCGUCGAGAUUUGGAUUUAGGUCACAUAAAUGCGCACCUGAGAUUCAGAAAGUAGCUUUAUUAAAUGCACACCUAAAGCGACUAGCGUGUUGAUAACUUUGCGGGAGGCCAUAAAAAUUCGCUAAAUGGCACAUCCCGUGUUCUAAGGAUUUUAAGGUGCACAUUGAUAGAGGGCCAUGCGAUUUAUGAAUUUUGUUAGGCGUGGCGCACCUCAUUUUAAUUUUUGAAAGGAUAUCCUAAAGAGGAAUUAUUAUUAUCUAUUAAUUAUUUUCUCUAAAAAAACUAACUUAAACAAGGGGAUCUCCAUAAUUAAAAGACCCCUUAAUUCGAGUUUGCUAUUUAACUUGGAAAGCCCAAGCUUGCACUACAAAAUUAACCAAUAACCUUAAAAGGAAUUCAGGCCCUCAGCAUAUUGGGCUUCGAAAAACUAGCCCAGGACUACGGAAAAUGUGAUCGACUUUUAUAAGAGGUUGUCUCAUGUUGGGCCUCAACACAAAGCCAAACGAAAACAAGCUAAAACUUAGGCUUAAAAUCAAAUUUCUGAUUAGUCCGCAAUUCAAUAAAUGAAUCAAAUAAAAAAGGGUCGGUAAUAUUUGGACUUCUUAUUAGGUCCAAAUCUCAUUUACACAAAAGCUAUCCAGGUUUAUCUCAUGAAUAAGUCUAAAUCCAAUAUUGAUUUCAAUUUGGGCCAGUUAACAAUUUUAAGAACAAAUGAACAAUUUGUCCCAAAUAAAGGCCCGCUAAGUUCUCAAUUAAAAUAUCAUGCACAACUUCAACUUGUUUGCAUAUUGAUAGCUAAUAUACUCAAUCUGGAAAUCUAAUAACCCUUUUGUUUUAGUUAAUACACCUUAAAACAACUUAAUCAUGGACGGAAAACUAUAAGUAACUACUAAUAUUCAUUUCUGAAUCAUGGAUUUUAAAAAAAUAACUCCUGAACUCUCACACGUGAUAUGUAGCAUGAUAAGCAAAUUACAAUGGCCAGUCCCUUUACAGCUACAGAAGAUGCUUCAACUUUUCACUGAUGAAUAUGUAUGCUGCUUCCCGAUUCGAAUCGUGAUAUUAUGUUCUAACACUAUUAAUACGACUAAAACUAAUAGUAUUAAACCAAUAUCAUAUUCCAAGCAUAAAUUUCAUGAUAACAAGACCAAAACUAAAUACAUUAGAUCUAGCACUAUUAACAUGACAUUCAUAUAAUCCUAAAAACGAAGUCCAGCAGUCCAGUUACAAUCAGUCCAAACAUUCCUAUUAAUACAAAUAGUGUAGUGUUCAAAUGAACACUUAUGCAUUUAAACUAAAUUAGAGUACUAGGAGAUAAAAACAGAUUGAACUUCAUAACUUCUUCCAAUUUGAUCAUACAUUGACUCAAAUUUCAUGUGUCAUUGAGGCUGAAAAAGUACCUGGGAAUUGAGGCAAAAAUAAGAUGGUUGAGGAUCAUCUGAGCAACAACAGAAUAACAGGGUGCAAGUUCAGUAGGGAAUCAGCCAAUCCAAGUAAAAAAACCUACGGAAACAAAGGACAUGACGUAGUUGAUCCCAAAGUAACUUCAAUUGACCAAAUAAAACAUCUGUAUUUGAAAACCGAGCCUUGAUGAACUAAUCAAAUUGAAAACAGUAGAUCCAAAAUGGAUUCCUAUGCUAUAUUUUUUGUUGAUUUUCAGGAUUUUUGGUUUCUAGGAUCUAAGGUUUUUUGUAUCUAAAUUCUCUACUUCUAUAAGAUUUUUUCUUGAAAUUUUCAGUCUUUCCCUCUCAAAUUUCUAGAUUCUAACUUUUUAUUUCAACUCCGAGUCUAUGUGGAUUUCUAGAAUUUCUGAAUAUUGAAUUUCAGAUUUCU